CGGCUAACUCCGUGCCAGCAGCCGCGGUAAUACGGAGGGUGCGAGCGUUAAUCGGAAUUACUGGGCGUAAAGGGCACGCAGGCGGUUAAUUAAGUUGGAUGUGAAAUCCCCGGGCUUAACCUGGGAAUGGCAUUCAAGACUGGUUAGCUAGAGUCUUGUAAAGGGGGGUAGAAUUCCAUGUGUAGCGGUGAAAUGCGUAGAGAUAUGGAGGAAUACCGGUGGCGAAGGCGGCCCCCUGGACAAAGACUGACGCUCAUGUGCGAAAGCGUGGGGAGCAAACAGGAUUAGAUACCCUGGUAGUCCACGCUGUAAACGAUGUCGAUUUGGAGGUUGUGGUCAUGAACUGUGGCCUCCGGAGCUAACGCGUUAAAUCGACCGCCUGGGGAGUACGGCCGCAAGGCUAAAACUCAAAUGAAUUGACGGGGGCCCGCACAAGCGGUGGAGCAUGUGGUUUAAUUCGAUGCAACGCGAAGAACCUUACCUACUCUUGACAUCCAGCGAAUCCUUUAGAGAUAGAGGAGUGCCUUCGGGAGCGCUGAGACAGGUGCUGCAUGGCUGUCGUCAGCUCGUGUUGUGAAAUGUUGGGUUAAGUCCCGCAACGAGCGCAACCCUUAUCCUUUGUUGCCAGCG
rnacentral:rRNA from 1 species